rnacentral:rRNA from 1 species
CAAUAGCGUAUAUUAAAGUUGUUGCGGUUAAAAAGACUCGCGGGCGGUCCGCACUAUGUGCGUGUAUCUUGUUCGGUCUUGGCAUCCUCUUGGGGAAUGCUUCUGUGCUUGAUUGCAUGGGGUGGAAUUCAAGACUUUUACUUUGAGGAAAUUAAGAGUGUUCACGGCAAGCUACCGCUUUGAAUACAUUAGCAUGGAAUAAUAAUAUAGGGCGUAAGUUCUAUUUUGUUGGUUUCUAGGACAUACGCAAUGAUUAAUAGGGACAAUUGGGGGCAUUCGUAUUAACGCGUCAGAGGUGGAAUCUUAGAUUGCGUUACGACGAACUACUGCGAAAGCAUUUGCCAAAGAUGUUUUCAUUGAUCAAGAACGAAAGUAAUAGGGGAGUCGAAGAUGAUCAGAUACCGU